AAAAAAGAGGAAAGUGGGAGCUGUGAGGGACAGAGACAAGGAAAUAUCUUUUUUUGUAAUUUUUAUUUUCCUUUUUCUCUUCUCUUCUAUCGCAAGAAGAAGCAGAGAGAUAGUCUAUAGGCAGAGAAGAGAUCGUUGUAGUUCAUAGCUAAAGAAGCAUCUGAGAGAUAGAGAUGAGAGAAAUAAUAAGCAUACACAUUGGACAAGCGGGAAUUCAGGUGGGAAACUCAUGCUGGGAGCUUUACUGCCUGGAGCAUGGCAUCCAUCCAGAUGGCAUGAUGCCCAGUGACACUUCAGUGGGUGUUGCACAUGAUGCUUUCAAUACCUUCUUCAGUGAGACUGGUUCUGGCAAACAUGUGCCCAGAGCUGUUUUUGUUGACUUGGAACCAACAGUCAUUGAUGAGGUUAGGACUGGACCUUAUAGGCAACUUUUCCACCCUGAGCAGCUUAUUUCCGGGAAGGAAGAUGCUGCUAAUAAUUUUGCUAGAGGGCACUACACAGUUGGGAAGGAAAUUGUGGAUCUGUGCCUUGAUCGAGUGAGGAAAUUGGCUGAUAACUGCACUGGCUUGCAAGGGUUUUUAGUGUUUAAUGCUGUUGGCGGUGGAACUGGUUCUGGUCUGGGGUCUUUGUUGUUAGAACGCUUAUCAGUAGAUUAUGGAAAGAAAUCAAAGCUUGGAUUCACCAUUUAUCCUUCUCCACAGGUCUCAACUGCAGUUGUGGAGCCUUAUAACAGUGUACUCUCUACACAUUCCCUUCUUGAGCAUACCGAUGUUGCUGUGCUUCUAGACAAUGAAGCUAUAUAUGACAUUUGCCGAAGAUCCCUAGAUAUUGAAAGACCUACUUACACCAAUUUGAAUCGAUUGAUAUCGCAAAUUAUAUCAUCUUUGACAACUUCAUUAAGGUUCGACGGAGCCAUUAAUGUCGAUGUUACUGAGUUCCAGACUAACCUUGUACCAUAUCCUCGCAUCCACUUCAUGCUUUCUUCAUAUGCUCCUGUCAUCUCAGCCGAAAAAGCAUACCAUGAGCAGUUGUCAGUACCUGAGAUCACAAAUGCUGUAUUUGAGCCUUCAAGCAUGAUGGCUAAAUGUGAUCCUAGGCAUGGGAAAUACAUGGCUUGUUGUUUGAUGUACCGAGGAGAUGUUGUUCCCAAGGAUGUCAAUGCUGCUGUUGCCACUAUCAAAACUAAAAGGACGGUUCAAUUUGUUGACUGGUGUCCAACUGGCUUCAAAUGUGGUAUUAACUAUGAGCCUCCAACUGUAGUACCUGGGGGUGAUCUCGCCAAGGUGCAGCGUGCUGUUUGCAUGAUCAGCA
rnacentral:misc_RNA from 1 species